UCAGAGGUCCAUGCUAUAUGAGCUUGUGAUCUCCACCAUCUUGUGGCUCAAGCUUGUAACAACAUUUUCAAAUUCAUAUCACUGUUGUACUGUACUGAGCUUUACUCUAUCAAAAUGAACUGGGUGCUAACUACUCUGGGUGCCAAGACUAAAUUGUAAAAAACUGUAAAAAACUGAAAAGAAAUGAGUAUGUAUUUCAAGGAACCAAUAACGUAUACAACUACUGUUCAGCGAACACCAGACUGAGGUAAAGGCAGUUACAUGGGGAAAGGUUUUAUGACUAUAUGGGUGUUGGGUACAAGGACAAUGCUGCAUUGGGCCACAUUCCAGCUCCAUCCCUGGGCAACCAUACCCUACUAUACAUUUACAUUUUACAUUUUAGUCAUUUAGCAGACGCUCUUAUCCAGAGCGACUUACAAAUUGGAAGAAGGAACAACAUCUAAUGCCGAAACCCGGGAUUGAACCAGGGACCUUUAGAUCUUCAGUCUAACGCUCUCCCAACUGAGCUAUAGACUUCUACUCUAGUCAACCAGCAAGUGAGAGAGACAGACAGGUCUGGCAUUGACUCUUUCAGUGAAGGGAUGUGAACGUAAGGAGUAAAGCACAGAGCACGGAGUCCAACUUAGAGGCAUAAUAAUGAAAAAGGGGUGUUAAGUGUCAUUCGCCACAUGCUAACUAUAGUUUUGUUACGAUUUACAGUUUGAACUAAAAAUAUAAAACAAAAGCCCAUUAAACGGAUGGUUAAAUUUGCACUUUGUUAUGCAACCACUCUCAUCUGUUUGAAAACCUUUCACAGAUCUUUGUGUAACAGAGUAAGUGCUGUUCCCGACCUGACCUGGUAUCGAACCCGGGACCCUCUGCAAAACAAUACUUCAUACUCACAAAGCAGUGUUCUUACUAACCAAUUGCUCUACCAUAACCAUGGUCUUGGUUGAGCAAGGGCAAUGUUACUUCAAGUCUCAAGGUUGACUUUGACAGCAAGUGAAGCAGAUAGUAUGGUAAGGUCACUGUUUAAAGCAAUAACCAGUACACUAUUUGUAGUUGUAUUUAUUAAGGAUCCCCAUUAGCUGUUGCCAAGACAGCAGCUACUCUUCCUGGGGUCCAGAAACAUUAAGGCAGUUAUGUGCAAUUUUAAAUAUUCCAUGACAUUACAUUUCAUAACACUUUCCACAACACAUUACGUGUGUUCCCUCAGGCCACUACUGUACUACCACAUAUCGACAAUACAAAAUCAAUGUGUACGUGUGUGUAGAGUGCGUGUCUUAUCAUGUGUAUGUGUAGGCAUGCAAGAACCCUUUUCACAGAGGGUUCUACCUGGAACCCUAAAGGCUUUGUCAAAGGGUUCUUCCAUGGGCAAGCCGAAGAACUCUUUGGAACCCUUUUUUCUAAGAGUGUACAAUUCAUGUGACUUAACAAAUUGAAUCAAUUAUUGGGUGAAUGAUUGAUCAAAUACACCUUUUUCAUUCAUUAGUGGCCAUUUAUAAGGAUUUAUAUGUAUAUCUGUUUGUUGUAAUGUGGCUAGAGUUAUAUGCCUGGCUGGUACCUUUAGUAGGCAACGGAUGGCACUGCCAGGGGUGAUGCCCAUGUCGGUCAGGGCUCAGAGGUCCUGAAGGAUGGCACCAGUUCCAGGAAGUGCCUCGCCUGCUUGUCAUCUGACAGUUGCACAUGGAAGUAAUCCUGCCAGAAAGAGAUGGAGUGUCCCAUACAGUCAGAGAAAGAGGGCUCAACACUGAUGGAACAGUAAUGGAGGGUGUCCCACACAUACAGAGCCAUUAUGGAGGGUGUUCCACUCAGACAGAGCAACAACCACAUGGCAGUGAUGGCGUUAACAGAGGAAGCAAAUGAAGGUAGGCUAGUUGAGAACAAGUUCUCAUUUACAACUGCGACCUGGCCAAGACAAAGCAAAGCAGUGUGACACAGACAACAACACAGAGUUACACAUGGAGUAAACAAUAAACAAGCCAAUAACACAAUAAACAUGACUGGUUUCACAUUUGUCUCCAGCUAUUAUAAGGUAAAAUAUAUCUAAAACAAGUGUAAUUUAUAUGUACAAUUCAUAGAAAUACCCCCAUUAUCCAUGCACUGUUGUUAUGUCACAGAUAUAUGGCAUUUCAAGAAGCUGAUAAAACAGCAUGAUCAUUACACAGGUGCACCUUGUGCUGGGGACAAUAAAAGGCCACUCUAAAAUGUGCAGUUUUGUCACACAACACAACGCCACACAUGUCUCAAGUUUUGCGGGAGUGUGCAAUUGGAAUGCUGACUGCAGGAAUGUCCACCAGAGCUGUUGACCCCAAAAAUGUUUUAUGUUCAUUACUCUACCAUAAGCCGCCUCAAACGUUGUUUUAGAGAAUUUGGCAGUAUGUCCAACCGGCCUCACAACCGCAGACUACGUGUAACCACUCCAACUCAGGACCUCCACAUCUGGCUUCUUCACCUGCGGGAUUGUCAGAGACCAGCCACCCGAAAAGCUGAUUAAACUGUGGGUUUGUACAACCAAAUAAUUUCUAUCAGAAACAGCCUGAGCCUCCAGCGACGUCCCCCAGUCCAGAGUCUUCAGCGACGGUCCGCUGUCCGGAGUCUUCAGCGACGGUCCGCUGUCCGGAGUCUUCAGCGGCGUUUCGCAGUCCGGAGUCUCCAGCGGCGGUCCGCAGUCCGGAGUCUCCAGCGGCGGUCCGCAGUCCGGAGUCUCCAGCGGCGGUCCGCAGUCCAGAGUCUCCAGCGGGGCUUUCAUGUUCAGAGCCUCCGGCGAUGAUUCAUGGUCCAGUUCCUCCGGCGAUGAUCCAUGGUCUGGUUAAACAAAAGCGGAGGGAUCAGCGGGCGGAGUGGGGGCUACGCCCCGAACCGGAGCCGCCUCCAAGGAUAGAUGCCCACCCGGACCCUCCCC
rnacentral:lncRNA from 1 species